CAGAGGGUGCGAGCGUUAAUCGGAAUUACUGGGCGUAAAGCGUGCGUAGACGGUUAUUUAAGUCGGAUGUGAAAGCCCCGGGCUCAACCUGGGAAUUGCAUUCGAGACUGAAUAGCUAGGGUACGGUAGAGGGAAGCGGAAUUUCCGGUGUAGCGGUGAAAUGCGUAGAUAUCGGAAGGAACAUCAGUGGCGAAAGCGGCUUCCUGGACCAGUACCGACGUUCAGGCACGAAAGCGUGGGGAGCAAACAGGAUUAGAUACCCUGGUAGUCCACGCCAUAAACGAUGAGGACUAGACGUUGGAGGGUUAAGCCUUUCAGUGUCGUAGCUAACGCGCUAAGUCCUCCGCCUGGGGACUACGGCCGCAAAGGUUG
rnacentral:rRNA from 1 species